UUGUGCUGGAGCCCAUCACGGAGAUCUCUAGUGCUGUCAAGCUGCUGAGCUCCAAGUCGAUCUCCUACCGAGGUGAGGAAACUCUUCCUCUCUCUAUUUGUCUGCAGGUUGAAUGUGUGGGAGAUGAUGGGGAGGAGCAGGAUGGCUUGCAGAUGAUGAAGGACCUGAAUCUAGUCUUCCAUGAUGCUAGCAACCUAUUCGAUCUAAUGCUGGAAUGAUUAUGGACGAGAAGGUCCAAUGGAUGCAAAGAUGAAAACACGAGUGUAAUAACUAGCUAUUCAAUGUGCUUCUCAAUUUUAAACCUGAGAUGUAAUUUUUUGACAUGAUGUAACUUGAGAUACUUGCUCUAAAUAUAUACUAUAAUUUCUGGGUUGGAACUAUUGUUUUCA